GAUUGAUUUAAUCAAUAGUAUUAGAAAUUUUAGAUUUAUAACCGAUUUCAUAAAUCGUGUUAUUUAAAUCGAAUUGUUAGAAUUAUAACUUGAGCUUAUGUGAAUAAUAAUUUUAUUAUUUCACGCUAUAUGUGUUUAGUAUUAAGUCGCGAAUUAAUUUCGACUUUCACGUAUUAAAUCUCAAGAUUGAGGAUUUAAUUUAUAUAAAUACGACGAGUAUUUAUUAAACGAGAAUUGGAGAAUUAUUACAGGAACUAUGAGAAAUUAGAUCACGAUAAAUAGUCGAAUCACUACACUAUUACACCAACCCCUCCAACAUAUAUGUAACACCCGGUAUUUUCACUACAGUAUAUGUUAUUAAUAUUAUUUUCUAUUUUCUAUUAUUUAAAAGAAUAAAGAGAAGUAGAAUCACUGAGAUGAGAUGAGAUAUUAUUAGUCGACUUAUUGCUCGACUAAUUGAAGUGACGAAUGUUAUUUAAUUAUUUAUCUAUGAGCUUUCUUAUUUUAAUAUUAUAUAGUGAAGGGAUAUUUACAAGGUUAGCUUAUGAAGGAAGAUUUUCUCCUCCUUUUCUUCCAACAAAGUCGUCCCCUUUCCUCUGCCAAACCCUUAGUUUGUUUUUUUUUUAAUUUCUUUGAUUUCAAGAGGCACUCCAAUUAUACAAGAGGUUAUCCAAUAGCGCCACUGCUCGGAGCUUGCUCGACGUGCCGCGACGUCUCAUCUCUCCCGACGAAGCGGAAGCUGCCGUUGCUCUGGUUCGAUGAUGCUGCGUCUUUCUUGGCCGGGAAUCGACGCGCCACCGUUGCUCCCUCCUCGGUUCUCUCUCUUUACAACUCAAGGGAGGGUGGGGUCUUCUUCUAGGCUGAGCCCUAGCUGCACUUCCUCGUUAAUCGCCAUCGCCGUGUUCUGGAUUCUAGCAGCGAAAGUUACGCCGCUGCUGUUCCUGGCAAUUCCCAUCUUCUCGUCGCUCGGCGUCGAUCCACGGCUCACCCCCAUGGAACAGGGACCGCUGCCUUCCCUUAAUCACCUAAAGCUAAGCCCUUCUUCCUCUUUAUGUUCUAUGGGGUAAAUUCAAAUGAUGUUGUUGUGUACUAGUUAACCCUAGUGGAGUUGUGGCUCUCCUUGCUUGUUCAUAAGUGAAUUUGGGCAUUCUUGAGGUAAGAUAGCUAAAUAUUUGAUGCUUAUGUAAUUGAACUCUUGGGAGCGUGGAAUGUGAUUAUGUGAUAAAAAUUGGGGGAUAUUGGGCAUGUUACUAUGUGUUGAGCCAAUUUUGAUUUAUGAAUAAGGGAAGAACUACUUUUAGUAUUGAUUGGAGAAGUUGUGGUGAUUAAUUGUGUUAUAACUUGCUUGCUUUGUGUUGAUGAGUUAAACAUGAGUUAAAUUUCAAGCUAAAGCAUGCUAAUGUGUAGUAAGAUGAUGUAAUUGAGUUCCUAUGGUUUGUAUUUGACAAACGUAUGAAUUAUAUGUUAAGUUGAAACAAAGGGGCUUUGCUGUCAGUUUUCGGCUUGACAGGGCAGUAUGUUUCGGGGUACUUUUGAUGAUGUUUUCGUAGUCCAAAUAACUUGAAAUUUUUACUGUAAUAACUUCAUCAUGUGUAGUCGUUCUCUGCAAAAUUUCAGCUAAAUCCGAGACCAAUAGACAUGUCAAACUAUUUUCUGAAAUGUACUGCACGGAGCAGCAGAGUUCAGCGGCAGAUUCUGUCUUUGGUCAUAUAACUUCUUAUCCACUUGAGAUAUUGUGUUUUUGUAAAUUUCUGAGAAAUAUAGACGUUAAUAGCUUUCUAAAGAAGUGAGGUUUAUAUUUUUCUUUGAAGUGGUUGAUUUUAUAUAAUUUUUUCAAAGUUAGGAUUCAAAUGGGUAUGUUUCUUAAACUUGUGAUUGGUAGUUAAUGGAGAUCCUAAACUACUAAACUCAAAUUAAGGUUUUAUUGUUCUAAUUACCUAUUAAGGAUUAUUGAUUACUAAGCUUGUUAAUAUGAUAGUUGAUGGAUAUAAUUAUGUUUAUAUGAUUAAUUACUUUGGGAUUUUAUGUUUUACAUGUAUGGUUAGUUGUAAACUGAUCUCUAUGAAAUGGAUUUGUUUACUUAAAACUUUCUCAAGUAGAGGAAUUCCUAUAAGAUAGGAAUAUUAGUUUAUACUUUCUUAAAGUUCAUAAGAGUUAGUAUAUUGGUUAGUUUAGUUGAUUCAACCCUAGCUCUGCAGAAGAUUAAAAGUUUAUUGGGAUGUUAUUUAUAGCUAAUUCUUCUUAUCUAGUUAUCCAAUCUUAUUUUAGAAUCUUGCUAUUAUGAAGGUGACAAUAGCAAUGAUAGAUAAGUGAGCAAGAGUUCCUACACCGUUAAGCGUAUCAGGUUGAGCAGCUGAUGGAAUGGAAUGAUGUUGAGCGGGUGUUCUUUUGACAUUUCAAGAAAUGUAACCUUGAGUAUACAUCUUCAUAUGUAUAUCUCACACGUUUUUCCGCUGCAAAACACUUUGAUUAGAAUAACUCUAUGUUAUGAAGUUGUGACACGUGUUAUUGGAUAACCCACCUUAAUCAGUUCUCCUUCAUGUGUAUGUUUUAUAAGUAUCCAAAUGAUCAUAUAUGAUCCUAGCAUCUUAUCUAUGAGUGACAUUCUCAUAUACCUUAAUGUUAAGUAAUUGUCCAUUUC